CUUGCUCGGCCCUUUCCAUGUAGGAAAGGGCCUUUUGCCUUUUAAUAUGUAAAUAUUUUAAAAAAAAAAAAUCUAAUUUUGAAACCUGUUAUAAGUCCAUUCUAUACCCAUUUCUUCCCCAAACCAUUUUCCCCCCAAAUUUUUCCCUCCCUCUCUCUCUCUCUCCAUCUCCUCUCCUCAACCCCACCGUGAGCCCGUCACCGUCGACCACUCCACUGUGCGUUUUCCAUCUCCGGCCAAAACCCAACCACCAUGCGUUCUCCAUCUCCGGUUCGGCUCCGACUACCCAACCACUGUACCGCCACGAGCAGCCCCAGCCAAACCACCACCACCGCCGCCAACGAUCCCAUCCACCAUAAGAUCUUGAAAAGCCAAUAACCAAAAGCUUGAGCUUCUAGAUCCUUGAAUCGGGGGUACAGAUUUUUGCGUGGAUUGGAGAUCUCAUCGAGCUCCAUUCAGCUCAUUGCCUUUCCAGGCUGAAGGUGCCAAUGCAGCAGAGGACGAAGUUGAGUUUGAGAAGUCAAUGUCUGAGGUGAAUGAUUAGGAUGAAGGAGAUGAAGAUGCGAAAUGGCAUCAUGGGAGAAAAUGCAUAUUGGUUAUGUCUUGAUAUUUUAGAUGUUGGUUCAAUGUUUUUUUGGUUUUAUAUUAACAUUCUGAAAAGAAUACGUGUUUGACUUUGAUUAAUUGAUGGGAAUCAUAGGCCGAUCCUCAUCAAUUGGGAUUUUGGCAAUCCAAAUAUGAAGAAAUGCCAUUUUCUAUCCUUAAUCGUUUGUCUUAUUUCUUAUGCAAUUCGAACCAACUGCUUCUGUAUUUAAAAAAAAAAUGCAGUUCAAGCUUCAUUCUUUUAACUUUAC